rnacentral:rRNA from 1 species
UACGUAGGUCCCGAGCGUUGUCCGGAUUUAUUGGGCGUAAAGCGAGCGCAGGUGGUUUAUUAAGUCUGGUGUAAAAGGCAGUGGCUCAACCAUUGUAUGCAUUGGAAACUGGUAGACUUGAGUGCAGGAGAGGAGAGUGGAAUUCCAUGUGUAGCGGUGAAAUGCGUAGAUAUAUGGAGGAACACCGGUGGCGAAAGCGGCUCUCUGGCCUGUAACUGACACUGAGACUCGAAAGCGUGGGGAGCAAACGGG